GCUUGGGAAUUACUUUUACUGCGGAAAUACUUUAUGUGUUAUACAAUAAUUAAGUUUUGUCUUUUUUAACUGUCAUAAGAACUGAGUGAUCUAACUCUAGAGACUUGAAUUUUGAUGCCUCGUCCUUUUUGGAGAUAUUGUCUUUGUAAGGAAGGGUAAAUGAAAUACUAGUUAUUCUAGUUAAAGUAAUCUAUUAUGUUCCUUUAUUGGGAAGAUCAAAUAUAGUUUUAAGAGCACUUUAACUUUCAAGCCGACUCCGCUGUGUGAUGCGUGUAUAUUGGAUACAAAUGUGAAAGAGAGCAGAGAUAAGCACAAAAGUAUAAACACAAUCUUAUUGAAUUAAAUUAGUGAUAGCCUUCAAUCCAGAAGGAAUCCAA
rnacentral:lncRNA from 1 species